rnacentral:rRNA from 1 species
GAUGAACGCUGGCGGCGUGCUUAACACAUGCAAGUCGAACGGAAAGGCCCAAGCUUGCUUGGGUACUCGAGUGGCGAACGGGUGAGUAACACGUGGGUGAUCUGCCCUGCACUUCGGGAUAAGCCUGGGAAACUGGGUCUAAUACCGGAUAGGACCACAUCUUGGAUGGUGUGGUGGAAAGUUUUUCGGUGUGGGAUGAGCUCGCGGCCUAUCAGCUUGUUGGUGGGGUAAUGGCCUACCAAGGCGUCGACGGGUAGCCGGCAUGAGAGGGUGUACGGCCACAUUGGGACUGAGAUACGGCCCAGACUCCUACGGGAGGCAGCAGUGGGGAAUAUUGCACAAUGGGCGCAAGCCUGAUGCAGCGACGCCGCGUGGGGGAUGACGGCCUUCGGGUUGUAAACUCCUUUCGCUAGGGACGAAGCGUUUUUGUGACGGUACCUGGAGAAGAAGCACCGGCUAACUACGUG